UCAAGAGCCAUGAUCUUCUUCACCAAUUCAUUGGAAUGCAUAUCUCCAUUAUGCAACACAGGUGCAGGAAACAAGGAAGCGGCAGAAGGUAGAUGGAAGGAGGUGCAGAAGAAAUGAAGAUGUCAAAUUAAGGUUUGACUAAAUAUUGACCCAAGGGUUAAAUUGAAAUAUUUGAAUUUAGCGGCGUGUAGACAGAAACAAAGUGAGUGCAGGAAGAAGCGCCCUUCAAAUAAAUUUAGACUCAGCCCUCAAAUGAGGCCUGAAUAGUUCAAAGCUGAUUCUGCAAUUUAAUUUCUCUGGUACAAUUUCUUGC
rnacentral:sRNA from 1 species